rnacentral:rRNA from 1 species
UCAGUCGACUCCUACGGGGAGGCAGCAGUGGGGAAUAUUGCACAAUGGGGGAAACCCUGAUGCAGCCAUGCCGCGUGUGUGAAGAAGGCCUUCGGGUUGUAAAGCACUUUCAGUAGGGAGGAAGGUAGUGUAGUUAACACCUGCAUUAUUUGACGUUACAUACAGAAGAAGCACCGGCUAACUCCGUGCCAGCAGCCGCGGUAAUACGGAGGGUGCGAGCGUUAAUCGGAAUUACUGGGCGUAAAGCGCAUGCAGGCGGCCUGUUAAGUCAGAUGUGAAAGCCCGGGGCUUAACCUCGGAAUUGCAUUUGAAACUGGCAGGCUAGAGUCUUGUAGAGGGGGGUAGGAAUUUCAGGUGUAGCGGUGAAAUGCGUAGAGAUCUGAAGGAAUACCAGUGGCGAAGGCGGCCCCCUGGACAAAGACUGACGCUCAGAUGCGAAAGCGUGGGGAGCAAACAGGAUUAGAUACCCUGGUAG